rnacentral:lncRNA from 1 species
GCACCACAUGUAAACCUUCUUCUACUUUGCUAACCCUAAUCAAUAGCAAUGAGUCACUAUUAAAGGUCGAUUUUCUCUCCAAAUAGUGGGUGGCCGUAAAUGAUAAUGGAGGUUGGUAUAAUGCAUUGGGUCUUGAAGGAUUAAGGUUUUACGAUCCUUGAUUAAAGGGACCUCUUUGGUUCCCUCCCCACUUGAGGUUGGGAUGGUCACGCCACCCCAGGUUAUAGGUGUUUGAAU